rnacentral:tRNA from 1 species
GAGAGAGAUAGCUACAACAAAAACUGCUAAUUUACGUUACUUUGGUUAAACUCCAAAGCUCACUCA